rnacentral:rRNA from 1 species
UUGAACGCUGGCGGCAGGCCUAACACAUGCAAGUCGAGCGGAUGAAGGGAGCUUGCUCCUGGAUUCAGCGGCGGACGGGUGAGUAAUGCCUAGGAAUCUGCCUGGUAGUGGGGGAUAACGUCCGGAAACGGGCGCUAAUACCGCAUACGUCCUGAGGGAGAAAGUGGGGGAUCUUCGGACCUCACGCUAUCAGAUGAGCCUAGGUCGGAUUAGCUAGUUGGUGGGGUAAAGGCCUACCAAGGCGACGAUCCGUAACUGGUCUGAGAGGAUGAUCAGUCACACUGGAACUGAGACACGGUCCAGACUCCUACGGGAGGCAGCAGUGGGGAAUAUUGGACAAUGGGCGAAAGCCUGAUCCAGCCAUGCCGCGUGUGUGAAGAAGGUGUUCGGAUUGUAAAGCACUUUAAGUUGGGAGGAAGGGCAGUAAGUUAAUACCUUGCUGUUUUGACGUUACCAACAGAAUAAGCACCGGCUAACUUCGUG